rnacentral:miRNA from 1 species
CCUAGGAAAGGCUGCUGGUAACUGGGAUGGUGGUUGGGGGUAGGUCAAGAAGUCUCUCACUCCUCCUCUACCUCAUUCCAGUUCCAUCACCUGAAGUGGACCUGUUGGGA